AGAGUUUGAUCAUGGCUCAGGAUGAACGCUAGCUACAGGCUUAACACAUGCAAGUCGAGGGGCAGCAUGUUGGUUGCUUGCAACCAACGAUGGCGACCGGCGCACGGGUGAGUAACGCGUAUCCAACCUACCCUUGUCCAUCGGAUAACCCGUCGAAAGGCGGCCUAACACGAUAUGCGGUUCACAGCAGGCAUCUAACGUGAACGAAAUGUAAAGGAGAAGGAUGGGGAUGCGUCUGAUUAGCUUGUUGGCGGGGUAACGGCCACAAGGCGACGAUCAGUAGGGGUUCUGAGGAGGAAGGUCCCCCANAUUGGAACUGAGACACGGUCCAAACUCCUACGGGAGGCA
rnacentral:rRNA from 1 species